CGGGCAAAUCCCAGACGGACUUCUCUAGCAAUCGGAUUCCUACCGAGCUUCACCAACAAAAAAUCUCUGUCCGAGCUUCUACAGCAGGUGACCCCCACCUGUAGUAUCAGCACCUAAGGUACCCGACAACAGUAGACUCGUCAGCAGCUUCAGGGACAUCCGAGCUUCUCCCAGACCAACAAUAGAAAGCCAUCCCACUCCAUUAGAUGUCCCAGUCGAGCUCCAGCCGAC
rnacentral:lncRNA from 1 species